AUACGUAGGGGGCGAGCGUUGUCCGGAUUUAUUGGGCGUAAAAGGUGCGUAGGCGGCCUUGUAAGUCAGAUGUGAAAGAUCAUGGCUUUACUGUGGUUAGCAUUUGAAACUGCAGUGACUGAGUACAGGAGAGGAGAGUGGAAUUCAUAGUGUAGCGGUUAAAUGCGUAGAUAUUAGGAGGAAUACCAGUGGCGAAGGCGACUCUCUGGACUGAUACUGACGCUGAGGCACGAAAGCGUGGGGAGCAAACAGGAUUAGAUGCCCUGGUAGUCCACGCUAUAAACGAUGAGUGCUAGGUGUCGGGGGUCAAACCUCGGUGCCGCAGUUAACACAUUAAGCACUCCGCCUGGGGAGUACGGCCGCAAGGCUGAAACUCAAAGGAAUUGACGGGG
rnacentral:rRNA from 1 species